rnacentral:rRNA from 1 species
CACUGCCGAGAAAAGCCUCUAGAUAGAAAAUAGGUGCCCGUACCGCAAACCGACACAGGUAGUCAAGAUGAGAAUUCUAAGGUGAGCGAGCGAACUCUCGUUAAGGAACUCGGCAAAAUGACCCCGUAACUUCGGGAGAAGGGGUGCUCUUUAGGGUUAACGCCCAGAAGAGCCGCAGUGAAUAGGCCCAAGCGACUGUUUAUCAAAAACACAGGUCUCUGCUAAACCGUAAGGUGAUGUAUAGGGGCUGACGCCUGCCCGGUGCUGGAAGGUUAAGAGGAGUGGUUAGCUUCUGCGAAGCUACGAAUCGAAGCCCCAGUAAACGGCGGCCGUAACUAUAACGGUCCUAAGGUAGCGAAAUUCCUUGUCGGGUAAGUUCCGACCCGCACGAAAGGCGUAACGAUUUGGGCACUGUCUCAACGAGAGACUCGGUGAAAUCAUAGUACCUGUGAAGAUGCAGGUUACCCGCGACAGGACGGAAAGACCCCGUGGAGCUUUACUGUAGCCUGAUAUUGAAAUUCGGCACAGCUUGUACAGGAUAGGUAGGAGCCUUUGAAACGUGAGCGCUAGCUUACGUGGAGGCGCUGGUGGGAUACUACCCUAGCUGUGUUGGCUUUCUAACCCGCACCACUUAUCGUGGUGGGAGACAGUGUCAGGCGGGCAGUUUGACUGGGGCGGUCGCCUCCUAAAAGGUAACGGAGGCGCUCAAAGGUUCCCUCAGAAUGGUUGGAAAUCAUUCAUAGAGUGUAAAGGCAUAAGGGAGCUUGACUGCGAGACCUACAAGUCGAGCAGGGUCGAAAGACG